rnacentral:rRNA from 1 species
CAGCCGCCGCGGUAACACGUAGGUGGCAAGCGUUGUCCGGAAUUAUUGGGCGUAAAGGGCUUGCAGGCGGUUUCUUAAGUCUGAUGUGAAAGCCCCCGGCUCAACCGGGGAGGGUCAUUGGAAACUGGGAAACUUGAAUGCAGAAGAGGAGAGUGGAAUUCCACGUGUAGCGGUGAAAUGCGUGGAGAUGUGGAGGAACACCAGUGGCGAAGGCGACUCUCUGGUCUGUAACUGACGCUGAGGAGCGAAAGCGUGGGGGGCGAACAGGAUUAGAUACCCCAGUAGUCCCUGUCUCUUAUAC